AGUGAACGCUGGCGGUAGGCCUAACACAUGCAAGUCGAACGGCAGCACAGUAAGAGCUUGCUCUUACGGGUGGCGAGUGGCGGACGGGUGAGGAAUACAUCGGAAUCUACUUUUUCGUGGGGGAUAACGUAGGGAAACUUACGCUAAUACCGCAUACGACCUACGGGUGAAAGCAGGGGAUCUUCGCACCUUGCGCGAUUGAAUUAGACGAUGUCGGAUUAGCUAGUUGGCAAGGUAAAGUAACACCAAGGCGACGAUCCGUAGCUGGUCUGAGAGGAUGAUCGGCCACACUGGAACUGAGACACGGUCCAGACUCCUACGGGAGGCAGCAGUGGGGAAUAUUCCACAAUGGGCGCAAGCCUGAUCCAGCCAUACCGCGUGAGUGAAGAAGGCCUUCGGAUUGUAAAACCCUUUUAUUGGGAAAGAAAAAAAGCAUAUUAAUACCCCGCUGUUCUGACGGUACCCAAACAAUAAGCACCGGCUAACUUCGUG
rnacentral:rRNA from 1 species